rnacentral:rRNA from 1 species
GAUGAACGCUGGCGGCGUGCUUAACACAUGCAAGUCGAACGAAGCACUUUAUUUGAUUUCCUUCGGGACUGAUUAUUUUGUGACUGAGUGGCGGACGGGUGAGUAACGCGUGGGUAACCUGCCUUGUACAGGGGGAUAACAGUUGGAAACGGCUGCUAAUACCGCAUAAGCGCACGGCAUCGCAUGAUGCAGUGUGAAAAACUCCGGUGGUAUAAGAUGGACCCGCGUUGGAUUAGCUAGUUGGUGAGGUAACGGCCCACCAAGGCGACGAUCCAUAGCCGACCUGAGAGGGUGACCGGCCACAUUGGGACUGAGACACGGCCCAAACUCCUACGGGAGGCAGCAGUGGGGAAUAUUGCACAAUGGGCGAAAGCCUGAUGCAGCGACGCCGCGUGAGCGAAGAAGUAUUUCGGUAUGUAAAGCUCUAUCAGCAGGGAAGAUAAUGACGGUACCUGAAUAAGAAGCACCGGCUAAAUACGUG